rnacentral:rRNA from 1 species
UACGGGGGGAGCAAGCGUUGUUCGGAUUUACUGGGCGUAAAGGGCGCGUAGGCGGCCAGCACAAGUCAGUUGUGAAAUCUCCGAGCUUAACCCGGAAAGGUCAACUGAUACUGUGCGGCUAGAGUGCGGAAGGGGCAACUGGAAUUCUUGGUGUAGCGGUGAAAUGCGUAGAUAUCAAGAGGAACACCUGCGGCGAAGGCGGGUUGCUGGGCCGACACUGACGCUGAGGCGCGAAAGCCAGGGGAGCGAACGGG